UAGGGAAUCUUCGGCAAUGGACGAAAGUCUGACCGAGCAACGCCGCGUGUGUGAAGAAGGUUUUCGGAUCGUAAAACUCUGUUGUUAGAGAAGAACAAGGACGUUAGUAACUGAACGUCCCCUGACGGCAUCUAACCAGAAAGCCACGGCUAACUACGUGCCAGCAGCCGCGGUAAUACGUAGGUGGCAAGCGUUGUCCGGAUUUAUUGUGCGUAAAGCGUGCGCAGGCGGUUUCUUAAGUUAGCUGUGAAAGCCCCCGGCUCAACCGGGGAGGGUCAUUGGAAACUAGGAGACUUGAGUGCAGAAGAGGAGAGUGGAAUUCCAGGUGUAGCGGUGAAAUGCGUAGAUAUAUGGAGGAACACCAGUGGCGAAGGCGGCUCUCUGGUCUGUAACUGACGCUGAGGCUCGAAAGCGUGGGGAGCAAACAGG
rnacentral:rRNA from 1 species